rnacentral:lncRNA from 1 species
UUCCAGUGCACUCAUGUCCAUCUUUUGGAGGGUAAAAUCGUCAUUUUUGUUGGAAUUUCUACGAAAAGAACUCCCACACGAACCCAUACUUUGGGUGGCAGCAAAGGUACAUCUAGAUUAACAGCCGCGAACUCAUCUCUUCCCAAAUGAAAGCCGCCCUCAGAUGUAAGGCAGCAUGUUGGGCUGUUACCCCACUCUGAAACAAGAGUGGCCAAGAGCACGUACUCUUCUUGAUUUUCUAGCUCUACGGUGAAGACACGCACUUCACGCACCCCACGAGGCGGAGACAAAAACGGCAUCCCGAAUCGAUCGAGAAAAGAGGUCAGAGGAAGAAGUCCGGCUUAUCUGCGAGGAGCCUUCUGGGAUAGGUAGUCCUAGCUCUCCAAAUUAGUGCCGUUUGUUACUGUGCUCUGAAACAGUAAAACUUCAUGUCCCAAGCGUGCGCCGGAAGACGGUAGGCCGCGGCAGGAUUGCAGUAGUCGGUGCCUGACUGAAGUGAGUUGGUGUAGGGGGGCGGCGAAGGCGCGGAGGGGCCGGCUUGGACGGAGCUGAGAUAACAGAUCAAAACUAGUAUGGAAGAUUCUGAUGGGGACUUUUCUAACCAGAGAGAAGCCAUUCUGUUUGAAUUAUAUACUAAUCAGAUCACUACAAAGAACCUGCUUUAAACUCCCUGGACAGUUGGAAAACAUAACUGGCUGCAGCAGGACCUAAUUCAAGUUAGCAG